ensembl:antisense
GCGACGAAUUCACAGCGAAAUAGGAAAAAAAUAAAAAUCAGAAGAAAAUGCUUGAGAAAAUAAGGAAAAAGAGAAAGCGAGAGAGACAUCCAAAGUAGGUCGAAUAAAUAAUCCUCUUCUUUUCCUCUUUCUUGCUUCUUCUGCUUCUUCUGCUAUAACACACAGAGCUAGUUAAAAAACCCUGGAGAUCGCCCAAAAAUGUUCUUUUUUUAGUAUUUUAAAUAAGUGCUCUUCAGCUGGGAACCAACACCCUCCCUCCAAAAAAAAUCAUAUAUAUNNNNNNNNNNNNNNNNNNNNNNAUAUAUAUAAUAACGAUAAGAAGAAUACUGAGGGGUGCCUCCUCCUCCUUUUUUUUUCAAGUUUAGUCUUCUCUCUUCUAGAGGAAAGGAGUGAAAGAGAAAAGGAGGGAGAGAAAGAGGAAGGGCGACAACUAGUAGAAUAUGUAAGGAGAGGAGAGGAGAGGAGAGGAGAGGAGAGGAGAGGGACCAAAAAAUUGAAUGCGUUUAAACGGGAGGACACUCAGAGCAAUGUUUCCGAAAGGGGGAUCUGCGCGAAUGUCUGUAUAUAGUGAACUUUGACACUACUAUUGAAACUGACACGUUUCUAUGGAGAUCUCUGCCUUAUAUGGAGCUCGUGUCAAGGAGCCAAGAGAAGGGCUG